rnacentral:rRNA from 1 species
CCUACGGGUGGCAGCAGUGGGGAAUAUUGGGCAAUGGACGCAAGUCUGACCCAGCAACGCCGCGUGAAGGAAGAAGGCUUUCGGGUUGUAAACUUCUUUUAAGGGGGAAGAGCAGAAGACGGUAACCCCUGAAUAAGCCAUGGCUAACUACGUGAGAGCAGCCGCGGUAAUACGUAGGUGGCAAGCGUUGUCCGGAUUUACUGGGUGUAAAGGGCGUGCAGCCGGAGAGGCAAGUCAGGUGUGAAAUCCACGGGCUCAACCCGUGAACUGCAUUUGAAACUGUUUCCCUGGAGUGUCGGAGAGGUACUCGGAAUGCCUGGUGUAGCGGUGAAAUGCGUAGAUAUAGGGAAGAACACCAGUGGCGAAGGCGGAUUACUGGACGAUAACUGACGCUGAGGCACGAAGGCCAGGGGAGCGAAAGGGAUUAGAUACCCGGGUAGUC